rnacentral:rRNA from 1 species
UACAUGUGGGGCAAGCGUUGUUCGGAUUUACUGGGCGUAAAGGGCGCGCAGGCGGCAGAUCAAGUCAGAAUGUGAAAGCCCCGGGCUUAACCUGGGAACUGCAUUUGGGACUGGUUUGCUAGAGAUCGGGAGAGGAGAGUGGAAUUCCCAGUGUAGAGGUGAAAUUCGUAGAUAUUGGGAAGAACACCGGUGGCGAAGGCGGGUCUCUGGGCCGAUACUGACGCUGAGGAGCGAAAGCGUGGGGAGCAAACAGG